rnacentral:rRNA from 1 species
GAUGAACGCUGGCGGCGUGCCUAAUACAUGCAAGUCGAGCGAACAGACGAGGAGCUUGCUCCUCUGACGUUAGCGGCGGACGGGUGAGUAACACGUGGAUAACCUACCUAUAAGACUGGGAUAACUUCGGGAAACCGGAGCUAAUACCGGAUAAUAUAUUGAACCGCAUGGUUCAAUAGUGAAAGACGGUUUUGCUGUCACUUAUAGAUGGAUCCGCGCCGCAUUAGCUAGUUGGUAAGGUAACGGCUUACCAAGGCAACGAUGCGUAGCCGACCUGAGAGGGUGGUCGGCCACACUGGAACUGAGCCACGGUCCAGACCCCUACGGGAGGCAGCAGUAGGGAAUCUUCCGCAAUGGGCGAAAGCCUGACGGAGCAACGCCGCGUGAGUGAUGAAGGUCUUCGGAUCGUAAAACUCUGCUAUUAGGGAAGAACAAAUGUGUAAGUAACUAUGCACGUCUUGACGGUACCUAAUCAGAAAGCCACGGCUAACUACGUG